UGACGAAAAUUAAUUAAAAAUUAAAAAAGAAGUAAUUGAUUUUUACAAAAAUUCUGACCUAAUGAUUAAUCAUCCCCUGACGUGUCAACACCACACUCCUCCCUUGCAUCGUCAUCUUUAUCUUCAUUCCUAUAAAUAGGACUUCUAAUAAUAACAAUUAGAAAAAAAAACAUUUUUAGAGAUCCCAAAACAAAACUCAGUCACAAUAAUCUCAAAAACAUUCUAGUCCCUUUAAUACAAAAAAAAAAAAAAAAACUCUAAAUAUUUCUGAUCGUUCNNNNNNNNNNNNNNNNNNNNNNNNNNNNNNNNNNNNNNNNNNNNNNNNNNNNNNNNNNNNNNNNNNNNNNNNNNNNNNNNNNNNNNNNNNNNNNNNNNNNNNNNNNNNNNNNNNNNNNNNNNNNNNNNNNNNNNNNNNNNNNNNNNNNNNNNNNNNNNNNNNNNNNNNNNNNNNNNNNNNNNNNNNNNNNNNNNNNNNNNNNNNNNNNNNNNNNNNNNNNNNNNNNNNNNNNNNNNNNNNNNNNNNNNNNNNNNNNNNNNAAUAGUAACAUAUACUCUCUAACAUUACUACACAUAAAGGAGGGAAAUAAACUACAUUGAAUAAUACAAUAAACAUAGGAGUUACAAUUAGGCAUUCACUAUGGAAAUAAUCUUCAUAACACAUUUCAGUUUCAUCUUUUAAUUGAUGCCAUACUAACAUUUACAUAGCAUUUUAUUCAAUCUAACAACUAUCUCUACUCUUAACUCUCUAGCAAAAAUAAAACUUCUCUGUUCUUAAUAAAUCAUAUACAUGCCUUGUCUUUACAAUCUUAUGGAAUAAUAAGAUCAUUAUUUGGGUUUAAAAUUGUUAUAUCUGUGUAGUUAAGUAAACCAAAACGAUUAUGCAGAUCGUUUGCUUAACACGUCCAUUGUUGUGAACUUAUGUUGCAAAUGGUAAAAUUGAUAUUCCAAUACACACAUGAUUGACAGUAUUAAAAAUCAUUAUACAGUUAGAAGCUCAAUCACCUUGAAAGGGAAUUUUUAAUCGGUUUGGUUUCUAGGUCACCCCAGUACCUGGGUCACUUCACCAUCGUCAAAACCUAAGAACCAAUGAUGCAAAAUCAGAUAUUGAUUUAAUCAUUCUGUCAAAUUAAAAACAGGGGAAUGAUUUACCAUCUUUUGCAGUUUGAAUCAGCGACAACAAAAGCGAGUAAAGAACUCGGAUCAGUGACGACAUCAUCCAGCAGCGAGAUGGACGACCUUGAUUCAAGAGGUGGCGAUGAUGACUUGGAGAUCGGCGACCACCGAAAGCAACCAGCGGUUGGCGGCAGGUUCAGCUCGCGAGGUAGAGACUCCGUCGAUCUGACAUGUUGGUCACCGGAAGCAACUAAAAACGGUGAUACCAAAUCGAGGGAUUUGACAGGAGGUGAGUCUUUCAUUUUCUUAAUUCUAGGGUUUAGUUAUAGUUUCUGGAAAAUUAAUAGAGAGGAGAUGAAGAGUGGAAGAAAAAAAGAAGCGAAGAAGGAGGAGAAAACAGAGAAAAUAAGGAGGAACAAAAAAAGAAGAAGGGUUCUGGAAAUUUCAGAGGAGAUUAAGAGGGUACGAGGAGAGAGGCGAGAGAAUUGGAGAGUUUAGAGAGAGAAGAAGCCUGAACAAAUGAGGAAAAUCGGCUUAAAUAUGUAUUUUAAAGAGUAGAAAUCGGCAGCUCAAUAAUUAUAAAAUUUCCACCGUGUUUUUUUUUAUACCAAAAUACCCUUAACUCGCUUCAGCAUUAAAAAAUAUUCGAUUGGCCUUUUCGUCAUUUUAAAACUCUCACUACAUGGCCGGGUUGGUGAGGCUUGGGCCGAUGGAAACGGUACCCAUUCGCCCAACCGGUCAGACCAUCCCUUCUUUGGGCUUAUGUCAAUCCAAGAGCAAUAUAAUUGUGGGCUAAGUCAUUUAACUUUUGUCGUUUUAUUAAUUUAAAUAGUUAAAGACUUGAGAUCAUCAUAAAUUAAAUUACAUUAAUAAGUUUCAGCCCAUUUUUUGUCAUUCAAUUUAUUUUAUCAUUCAAUUUCUCUUAAUCGGCUUGAUUAGACUAAUUGAGAUGUGAAAGCAUGAGACAUAUGCAUAUAAUUUAGCAAUUUUAUCGAGUCCAUUAUACAAAACUAGCAAUGUUAGUCUCUCGAUAAUUAAAGUGUUUGUACAUCUCUUUAAAACUAUAAAUAUUACGUAUUCAAUCUACCCUCAACAAGCAAUGAAAGUAUGGUAACGCCAUCCGAACUACGCGGACUUUGAUCCAAAAAAUAUAUAUACCUCCAACAUAAAAAAAUAGUUGCUCCAGUAACGUAUUUUUCGCAAGAGCGAAAAUCCACGAAAAACCACGAAUAGUAGCGUAAGCUUUCUCAAGAGGGAAAGUACGUGAAUCCACUAUCUUCAAACAAAUCUUGUUUUUACCUAAUCGAAUCAUAAAACACAAAAAUCUUUNNNNNNNNNNNNNNNNNNNNNNNUAAAAUGAGAAUAGUAGCGUCAGGCUUUACGCUAUUAAAGUCACGUGAAAUUCUCAAAAUAUAAAACUCAUAAAACCUUUCAAAAAUUACCAAACAAACCGCAACUAUUUUGUCACCACAAAUCAACUUUUUCAAAUCGAACUAGGUGGACUUUGAUCCCUAACUCCGGGUGCGUAGGCCAUCAAGAGACUCGAGUCCAACUUUAAAACAAUUUAUUAUUUUAAUUCGAACUUUAAAACAAUUUAUCAUUUUAUUUUCAACUUUAAAACAAUUUAUUAUUUUCUUCCAACUUUAAAAAAAUUUAUUAUUUUCUUUCAACUUUAAAACAAUUUAUUAUUUCUUCCGAGUUCAAAACAAUUUAUCAUUUUAUUUCCAAUUUUAAAACAAGUUAUCAUUUUAUUUCCAAUUUUAAAGCAAUUUAUCAUUUUAUUUCCAUCUUUAAAAAUAAUUUAUCAUUUUUUUCAACUUAAAAAUAAUUUAUCAUGUUAUUCCCAACCUUAAAACAAUUUAUCAAUUUAUUUGAAUUUUAAAGCAAUAUAUCGUUUUAUUUCCAAUUUAUCAUUGUAUUUCUAACUUUAAAAUAACUUAUUCCCAAGUUCAAAAUAGUUUUAUUGACUUCCCGUUUUUAACUAUUUUAUAAAUAACGAAACUAACAACUUUGGUCUUUGCAAAAGUGAGGACAAGCAAACCACAAGAUAAAAACAAAUUUUUCAAUCCACUUUUAAGCGAUUGAUGACGAUUUAAAACCAAUUGAGCCAUCGACACUACGGACAGAAACAUUAGUUCAUUCCUUUUCGGUACAAAUAAGAAAUUAAAUCCCUUCCAACAGCAUUCUCAAGUUAUUUGUAAAAAACGCACCCAACUUUGCAGAUGCAUUGUUUAUUGGACACCACGUAUUUGACAAGUUAUCUACUACUAUUAACAUGUAUUAAUAAGGGUGGAUUCUUCCGGUAUAUUGAAAUUUUCGAUGUGCCCAAUUUUUGUUGGUAACAUUAAUUAAUCACUAACGUUCAUUUUCAAUUUAUGAUCUCAAUAGUUCAUAAUUAUUCAAAUAUUAAAUCUCUCUUUCACAUUUUAUUUUUAGUUUCAUAUGUUUUCUCAAUUUGUAAACUAAUCACUUUCUUCAAUUUCUAUAUAUCAAUAAAUACCAAAUACAAUUUUUUAACAUUUUACAAUCCUAUCUAACAAAUUAACAUCCCAUUUUACAUAAUCUUAUUUCCCACCUUUUUGUGAUACCAUGAUAUCUUUAUUCAUUAUUUCCCCUUCUCCAGUCUUAUCAUCAUUCAUCACCAUCACCACCACCAUCAUCAGUAUCCCUUGUACAUCACCAGUAUCCCUCAUAUCAAACCAAUAUAUCAUGGCUCCCUGAUGAUAAUCCAUUCACAGAUCCAGUGCUAUAGUAGAUGAGGAUUUAUUAUGUCGCUCACAAUUGUUCAAACAGUUUUGGAUAAUGUUUCGGAUAAUUCAUGAUAUUCAAGUCUCCUACUGUGCUUUAUAUCCUUAUCAGAUGGAAUACUAAAGCCAGUGAACUUGUAGAUAUUAAUUUCAUUCUUUUCGUUUGCUCUUAUGCUCUUAGAUGCUUGUGCCCAGAUUCAUUCCAGUUCCAGGUUCAACAAAAAUAUUCCUAUUUGAGAGCUUCAUUUCACAAUCCAACAAGCCAAAGGAUAAGCAAGUACCAGUGUACCACUCAGAAACUAACAGAGAUUCCUUACCACUACUACUCUUAAGUAGAAAAUCUCUACGUAGACCAGAAUCUACAAAACCCUUCAAAAAACACCAGACCCAUAGAAGAAAAGUUAUGGACUUUCCAAGUUCCAAAAGAGGGCUCAUUCAUGAUGCCAGCAACGAGAUCAGGCACACCAAGGGAACAGCGAAAAUGGCUGCAACCACCCACCAACAAGUGCAAGUAGCCUUAUUCUUAUCCUUCAUCUGCUUUUCGUAGUACAAAGCAUCAGUCCCACAUUCUUUUGAAUAUCAUCAAUCUUCUCACCCCGAGCAUCCAUCAAACCGCCAUAUCCAGAAAAACCUGAUGCAGCUUCGUCAGGCUACUCUGUAUAUCCAACACAGCCUAAGGCCUCUCAUUGCAAGGAAAAUCCAUCUCUUUGUCUUUAUUCUCCACCACCAACGACUCAAAUCCCUGAAACCAUAUUCUUAAUCGUCUCCUCGCUCGCCUCUUCACCCGUCGCCACGAAGUACUUCCUCUUCAGAUCGUUUCUGUAAUCGGACAGGAUCAUCUCCCUUAAAAAGAAGUGUUAGGAAAAUUAUUUCCUAAUUAAGUAGGCUGCAAAUCCACAACCCAUUAUAUUGACUAUUAUUUUCGUAUGAGCUAUCUACUAGUGAUCAUGUCAUGAAGACCAUGACUUCUCAAAUUUAAGUGUGGAGCAAAUGAGUGGAUACCACAUACAACACAUAUGGGUUUUAUGGGAGCCCAUAGUGAAGUGUAUGUAAGAAGCUUGAGGUUGUGGUCCCCAAUACACCAAGACAAGAUACACACCUAUUCUCCCCAUCUAGAAUUUGUGAGGCUUUCUAUGAGUGGAAAUUAGGUGCCUUGGUUGAGGAAGGCUACUGAACCUCCCAGUUCGUGCUCGUAGCAGUAUCAGCCAGUUAUCGAUUGUCCAACAGUUUUCGCAUCCAGUUUCAGACAAUCAUCAUGAAUCCAGAUAUCUCCAACCUUUGAUGAUCUUACAAGAUGAUGUUCUAGGGAAUUGCUUAUGCAACUAGAUUUGUUCUAACAAAAGGUGUUGGAAAUAUGCACCAUGGACUUGACCUUGUGUGAUACCGAAGUUAAGUCGGAUACGUGAGUUCACGGGAAACCUCACUUUAGCUCAGGGAAACAGACAUCUAUCCUAACUUACAAAUUCUAAAGUGACUCUAAUAUCGAAAGUCUAACAACUUGAGUGGAGACGGUCUUAUCCUCGGAAGGGAUUUCCUGAUACCCAAGGCUUGUAGGGGUGGAAAUACUCUUUUCGGAAAGUGGUGCCCACGAUUCCGUCUUGAUCCUAGAUCUCAUUACCUCUCAAAACACGAAGCAUUGCUACUUGGAACCUCAUAAGCUAACAAGAGGAACUCGUUCAUUGCCUCCCUGAAUUUCGCUCUCAGCUUGUUCGUCAAUGAAACCCUAGUCCUGUCCACAGGGCUUUCUUCUGCAUAGAGACAUGAUUUUCCUCUAUUGGAGAUGUUGGUCUUCUCCAAAGAUUCCAGGCUGCUCUUGACGUCCUUGGCUUUUCGAAGGACGGUUACAAUGUCCGAUUGGAUUCUGUCUCUCAACCCUUGGAGGAUUUUGGCGCUGUGGGAAGAUUUGGUUUCUUCGUUUUAGAGCUUGUAGUUCGGAUAAGAGAUUGGUUAUCUUUUCCAUCUCGAUUUUUAUUGAAUCCAUUUGGAGGAAGAAGUUUACUAAGCAUUGAUAUAUUGGUUUGAUAUGAGGGACACUAGUGAUGGUGAUGAAUGAUGAUAAUAAUGGGAAGGGGAAACAAUGAACAAAUAUAUGGUGGCAUCACAAAAGGGUGGAAAAUAAGAUGAUGUGAAAUGGGAUGUAAAUUUGUUAGAUAGGAUAGUGAAAUGUUAAGAAAUUUUAUUUGAGUAUAAAUUGAUAUAUAGAAAUUAAAAAGAGUGACUAAUUUAAAAAUUGAAAAAACAUAUGAGACCAAAACUAAAAUGUGAGAUUCGAAUAAUUAUGAAUCAUUGAUAUCACAAGUUGAAAAUGAAUGUUGGUGGUGGAUUUACGUUACAAGAAAAAUUUGGACACAUAAAAAAUUUCGUUAUACGAGAUAUAUUGAAGAAUUCACCAUUAAUAAAUUUAAUCGCCACUUUCUGAGCUUAUUAACAUUACCGGUAAAUUACAAAAAAAACUAAAAAAGUAUACAACUUUAUAAUUAAACUAUUAUCUCGUCUUUUGGUAAGCCUAGAUGCAUCAACGCUUAUUUAUCAUUCAAAAUCAAACGAGGUUGGGAUACCCAAAGAAUGGAAUACAACAAAUGUAAAAAUAAAGAAGGAUCACUAAUAGGGAUAUGAUGAACACCAAAUGGUAAACUAUUAUCAAGGCCAGCUAAAAAGUUAGCAGUCUGGUUGCUUCCGGAUAGAUAUGCUCGACUUUGAUCAACCAGUCUUAAUCCAACAUCUCACGAAAACUAGCGACCUCAGAAGAGUGCUGCUAUGUGAGCUCACGAUCCCCCAGCAAGAGUUGGAUCGUAGACCGUGAAUCCAACUGCACCCUUACCCUCUGGUAACCUUUCUCCCAAACUAUCUGCAAUCCUGGCACAACAGCUCUCAACUAGGCUAUGGUAAUUGAGCAAAUCCCCAGGUUCAUGCUAUAAGCUACCAAGCAUCAACCAUCAGCUCCUCGUCUGGUCUAUCGAAUAACAGACCCGUUAGAAUUGAGAGCAACCCACCCAGGUGGUGGUGACGGCCAAGAGACAUCCACCAUCGUCUUAGUCGGUGAACUAAUAUGAAUGGACUGGUCUCGUAUCAAAGCCUCCCCAAUCGUCUCGACCCAAAAUCUAAUACGCUGUGACAAGACCUCAUGAGAGGUGCGAUUAUCGGAAAAUAAACACUCAUUCCUGGUCAUCCAGAGAGACCAGCAGGCAACUACGAACAGAAGGCUAGUGCUCGUCGCCAUCAAAUGGUGAGUGAUCCAUGGAAAGAGUGGAGUAUCCUGAUUUGUCUAACUGUCAGAAAGAUUGUCAAAAUGCUCCCAGGUGCAAACCGCAAAUGGACAGUCCCGCAACACAUGCAUGACUGUUUCUGUUGAUUGGUGACAUCUCCUACAUGCCCCGUCUUCUGUCAUGUAACGUCGCCUUCACUCCUCACCUGUCAGUAAGCGGUUAUGUUUUUCUAGAUAGAGGAAGUACCACAUUCUGUUAGGGCCCUGCCAAUGCCAAAUGAUCCACAAAUCUAUACCGAAGGGGUUCCGCCAACAUCAGAAUUGAGUAACUCAUACGCCGAACGAAUACGGAAGCGACCAUCCUUCUCUACACCCCACACUAAUGCAUCCUCCCUUCGCCCAACUCACGGAGGUAAUAUUCAUGCAAUUUGUAGAAUAACAGCAUCCGGUAACCAAAGUUUAAUAAAAUCAAAAUCCCACUCACCUAAAGCUGUCACCAGUUCGAGGUCUGACCAUUCCUCAGUUGGUUGCAAAAAUUCCACCAGUUUGAUCCCCUUGUCAAACCUGCAAUCCAUCCAGAACAAUGUGUCAUUGCCGUCCCUAACACAAUUCCGAAUCCCUGCCUCGAUCGUAGGACUUGCGGCCUUAAUACCACACCAAAUUGGGGAAGUGAAAAAGGAAUGUCUCGGAUGAAAACCAGACUCAUCCUCUCUCCUAUACUUCAUAACUAGAAUCUGCACCCAAACAUUGUCUAGUUUCGUAAUAAGCUAUUAUCUCUUUUUAUUAUGUAUUGAAUAUUGUUUUUACCUAUUACAUGUUUUUGAUUAAUAUUUUCAUAAGCAACAAGUUUUUUUCUAAAGGCCAACAGGCCACCAAAAAAAUAUUUGUUUGAUUACGAUCCGAAGCGGCCCAUACCCUUUGAGUAUUAAGUUAGUGCACCAUAUGCCAUUAUAUUUAAGAUUUUGCAUUAGGUGCCAUUACAGUAGUAAUUUGAGUGCACUUACUUCUUUUU
rnacentral:lncRNA from 1 species